GGGCUCUGCUGGCUGCCUUCACUAUGGAAGAACCUGAGAUGCAGCUGAAGGGAAAGAAAGGUGUUGCGGGACCCUAGAGGGGUUGGAGGGGCCUAGAGAGGGCAACGCGGGAAGGUACAUGACAAAGAGCCGCCGUAGACCUCCCGGCCUGCGGGGUUCGAUGGAAAAGGGAGGCCGGUGUCUCCCGCCGGGAGGUGUUGUGAUGUAUAAUGAUCCCGGGCAGGAAAAGGCUCUUUUCUACUUCUGAGAUAAGGUCCCGGGAUGUAACCCUGGCUAUAUUGGAACUCGCUGUGUAGACCGGGAUGGUCUCAAACCUCUCUGCCUUCUGAGAGUUGGAAUUAAAAGCAGAAUCCAUCCAGGUCCCUGCUCAGUGUAAUGUGGUUUUUAGCCUGUGAAUACGUAAAGGAGUAUGUGGGCUUGGUGGCGCAAUACUCUAAUCCUCUCUUCUCAAGAGACAAGAAAUUGAAGGCCAGUUUGGUCUGCACAUUGAAACUCAAAUCUCGAGAGAAGAGCUGGGGCUUUAGCUCAGUCGUAAACACUUUGACCAGCGCAUUCAAAGCUCUGGGUUUGAUCCCCGACACUGCAAAAUAUAUUAAGGACCAGAUAAGUAGAUUAUUUUCUUUAGCUGAUGGGAGCCCUGCGUGGUAAGAGGAGUUGGUGUCAUCUGCCACCAUUAGCCUGGUCAGAGCUUGUCUGAUACAGGAAGGAGUGGGGGAUGAAGGGGACUGAAGUUGGAAGCAACAGGAUCCUUGAUGGAUGGAGCAGGAAGAAUAGAGAUUUCCUGACUGGGAAAGCUGUUGGUCAAAGUCUACCCUGGGAUGAUGGUUUUGGUGCAGUUGACUUGUGGUAGGAACAUGAGUUCUGGAGUAAAGGAAACAGGCUUAACAGGAACUUGAAUGGAUUCUGCAGAGGGCAGCCUUAGCAGGCAUGUUUCUGGAACAGGGCCUGUGAUAUACCUCAGAGCUGUUCCCACACAGCAAGGGACGUGGCCUUCCACAUCAUUCCUGCCACAGAGUAGAGGCCUCACGAGAUUGUGGACUUUAGGCACCUUUGAGUUCUGUGUUCAUCCUCUGGGCAGCUGGAUAUGGUGGUACAUGCUUCUCUUCCCUUGGGAGCACUUGGGAGGCAAAGGCAGGCAGAGGAAUUGCUGUGAGUUAAGGACAGCUUAGUCAACACAGUGAGUUACAGGGAAUCCAGAGCUACUAGAUUCUAGUAUGAUGUUCCAUACUGCUCUCCAGUAUGCUCCAGUUAUAAAGGGGGAGGGAAGCUGUCAGUGGCUUUAGUACCAUCCACCAAUGUCCUCUGAAAGUGGGUCUGGGGAGAGAAGAUUGUGAGUUCAUGUGUUUGCUGAUGCCCCCUUGAGUUAGGCCUUGCUGUCUAGAGACCAUCCCUGGACCUGCAGAUGACAGUUAAAGUGGUGCACCCUGGCGGCUCCUCUCUAACUCCUGUUGGGCUCAGAGAUUGAACAAUCAGGAGUGUAAUGUGGGUGGGCCUUAGCUGGCAGAGUGUUGCCUGGCAUGCAUGAAACCCUGGGUUAUAUGUCCAGCACUGAAUAAACUAGGUAUGGUGUCACACAUCUGCAGUCCCAGCACUCAGGAGAUGGAGGCAGGAAGAUUAGGAGUUCAAAGUCAUUCUUGCUUACAGAAAACUAAAGUCUAGGGGGCUGGUGAGAUGGCUCAGUGGGUAAGAGCACCCGACUGCUCUUCCGAAGGUCCGGAGUUCAAAUCCCAGCAACCACAUGGUGGCUCACAACCAUCUGUAAUGAGAUCUGACUCCCUCUUCUGGAGUGUCUGAAGACAGCUACAGUGUACUUACAUAUAAUAAAUAAAUCUUU
rnacentral:lncRNA from 1 species